AUUGAACGCUAGCGGCAGGCCUAACACAUGCAAGUCGAACGGUAGCACAGAGAGCUUGCUCUCGGGUGACGAGUGGCGGACGGGUGAGUAAUGUCUGGGAAACUGCCCGAUGGAGGGGGAUAACUACUGGAAACGGUAGCUAAUACCGCAUAACGUCGCAAGACCAAAGUGGGGGACCUUCGGGCCUCACACCAUCGGAUGUGCCCAGAUGGGAUUAGCUAGUAGGUGGGGUAAUGGCUCACCUAGGCGACGAUCCCUAGCUGGUCUGAGAGGAUGACCAGCAACACUGGAACUGAGACACGGUCCAGACUCCUACGGGAGGCAGCAGUGGGGAAUAGUGCACAAUGGGCGCAAGCCUGAUGCAGCCAUGCCGCGUGUAUGAAGAAGGCCUUCGGGUUGUAAAGUACUUUCAGCGGGGAGGAAGGCGGUGAAGUUAAUAGCUUCACCGAUUGACGUUACCCGCAGAAGAAGCACCGGCUAACUCCGUGCCAGCAGCCGCGGUAA
rnacentral:rRNA from 1 species